GUGACAAUGACCGCCUGCGCAAGCGGGUGGAACAACUGAGCCGCGAACUCGACACUCUGCGGGGCAUCUUCCGCCAGCUGCCCGAGAGCUCCCUGGUCAAGGCCAUGGGCAACUGCGCGUGAGGCGCGCCGCGGCGGGACCGCCCUGGGCCGACCCCCGGCUGGGACCCAGGGAGUAUUUUCGUGGUCUCGGGAUCUCAAGACUGCCCACGCCGCGCAUGCCAGGACUAGGAGAUUCCGAUGCCGCCUGAAAGCCUGGACUGUCGCGCGUGCCCCUUGCCUUCUUCUGCGCGGGACACGUGCCCUCAGCAAGCAGAAGUGCCCAUUGGACAGAAAGAAAGAUGAAGGUAAAGAACAUCCUGCUGGUUUUCUUUAUAAAUUUAAUAAUUUGAACAUCAUAAGCUACUUCCCAUGAAGGGGGCUCCCAAACUGGCCCUGGAGGGUGGCCUCUGUGGAGAGUCUCCUGCAGUGCGGUCGCCCUGCCUCUCCUGUUGCCCACAGGCCUGGGCUUCUGUGGCUGGUGACCCUAACUGCGUGCUGGCUGCUCUGGCUGGGCCCUCCCUCCAGGCUGGUCCUUAGCUCUAGGUGACUGGCUUACAAAUUCUUGCAGAAUCCUAUUUUGAAAAGCCUAAACCAAAAAGAGCAUAUCACACUGGCUCGGCUCCCCAAAACACCUGCCCUGUGUUGGUGACUCACACAUAGAGCCAAGUGCAAUAGAGAAAACAAGUGCACAGCGGGAUGUGUCUUCAGGCACGGCUGCAUCCAGCAGCCAGCCUAUGUUGUCAGGAGUCCUCUCUCACUGCAUCUCAUGGUUUUGCCUGCUUUGUGCUGGCUGCAGUUUCCUGUUAGGCGUUCCCAGUAACCCAAAGCCUCUAAACAGAUACCCAGCAACCCAGAAUAGAGCUUCAGCUUUUGAAGAGUUUCAUCAAAAAUCCUGGAGUUGGAUUCUGCUGGACCACAGGCUCAUCACUGAGCCAGCCACUGUCCAGGAGGACAGAGGAUACUAACUGACCUUGUCCCUAUCCCCCUCCCCCCAUAUGCACAAAUGCUUUGGGGGAUGGGGAGGGAGUCAGCCCCAUUCACACUGCAUGGAAUGAGAGUGGGGGAGGGGAGGUACUUCAAGGAGAAUCCAGGUGUUGUGACUGGAUUGAGAGGAAAUGAUUCUGAGGCAGCAAAACAAGGGGGAACCCUGUCCCUGCCCUUUGUCCCAGGAAGAACUGAAGCUCACAGAGAGGGAGGAGGACUCAGGGUAAAUCCUUUGUCAUUGCCUCCAGGGACAAAGGGGUCCAUGACCACAGCAGAGGAAGAGCUUCUGGAGUCAGUGAAUGUAAUUCUGGCCCCACAUUCAUUCCUGACUUCUGCCCCUGAAGCUCCCAGCAGCCUCUCCCCACGGGCACUAGCCUCUCCAUGGGGUCUGUGACUCUAGCCCAUGGAGAUGGGGUGGCAGGGGAGACACACAGCAAUGGGCAGACUUCAGAAGCGCUGGGCAGAGCCCCUGCAUGGAGGGAGAGGAAGGGUUAGUGGCCUCUUGUCUCCUGAGGCCUCAAAGCCACCAGGUCCUGUCCCUGUGAACCCCUGGAGCUCCUUGAUUUCAGCCCUUCAGAGGCCUCCAGCCACUGGGAUGGGGUUGUGCUUCCUGUUCCCUGGGACCAGAGCCUGGAGAAGCUGCUGGGGGCGAAGGGCGGCGGGGUGGCGGGAGGGUGCUGGCUAGAGGAGGUGACGAGAGGACUCCUGCCAUCUGGCCUUGGAAGGGCCUCCAAAGGAAAGGUUGCCCCUUGUGCCCCUCACUCAUCUACACUCAAGGACACUGCUGGACAGUGAGGAAGGAAACCCCUUCACUGAACAUGCAGAUGCUUUCUUAAGCUGCUCUGAGGGUGGGGGGUGGGGAUGGUCCCCCCACCAGCCUGUCCAUCAGAUUAGGGGUAGGAAGUUCCCUGAGGCCGCUGGAUUUUACCCAGGUUUGCAGACUGUAGAUGGUGACGCUGGGACCCACCAUGAGGCCACCCCUUCAUAGCCUCAGUCUUGCCUCAAAGAAUGGGAGGUGAGGUCGCGAAGGAAGAGGGGAGAGGCCUGGGAGGUGAGAAGCGAGGCCUAGGGAGGCGCAGUAGCCCUCCUCUCCCCUGGGGGGGGGGGGGGCCAGAGCCCGGGGCAGGGAUGUGGGCGAUGCCAGGGCCCGGGCUGGCGAGCAGGGAGCCCGCCAGGGACCACGGGGAGGCUUCCUCUCCGUGUCUUCAUGCCACAAGAUGUAAAAUAAUCCCCUCGGCUCAGAAAAACACAUUUUAUGGCUGUCUGACUCAUUUCCCACAGAGCGAGGUUCACCCACCCUCCACCCCCAACGUGUAGAGCUUUUGUUUUGAAAAAUAAAAAAUAUGUUGAAAAUUU